rnacentral:rRNA from 1 species
CAAGGAAUAUUGCCCAAUGGACGAAAGUCUGAGGCAGCAACGCCGCGUGGAGGAAGAAGGCCUUCGGGUUGUAAACUCCUUUUCUGGGGGAAGAGAAAGGACGGUACCCCAGGAAUAAGUCUCGGCUAACUACGUGCCAGCAGCCGCGGUAAAACGUAGGAGGCGAGCGUUAUCCGGAUUUACUGGGCGUAAAGCGCGUGCAGGCGGUUUUCUAAGUCGGACGUGAAAGCUCUCGGCUCAACUGGGAGAGGUCGUUCGAAACUAGGAAACUUGAGGAUGGUAGAGGAGAGUGGAAUUCCCGGUGUAGUGGUGAAAUGCGUAGAUAUCGGGAGGAACACCAGUGGCGAAGGCGGCUCUCUGGGCCACUCCUGACGCUAAGACGCGAAAGCUAGGGGAGAGAACGGGAUUAGAAACCCCGGUAUUCCUAGCCGUAAACGAUGUCAACUAGGUGUAGGGGGUAUCCAACCCCCUGUGCUGUAGCUAACGCGUUAAGUUGACCGCCUGGGGACUACGGCCGCAAGGCUAAAACUCAAAUGAAUUGG